UAUUAUGUUAUUAUUAGUAUAAUUUAUAUUAUUUAAAAUCUUAUUUUGAUUUUUAAAAAUAUUAUAAUUUAAAUUAAUAUUUAAAAAGAACUCGGCAAAAAGAUUCUUGCCUGUUUAACAAAAACAUGUCUAUAUGAAGGUAUAUAUAGUUUAACCUGCUCACUGAUUAUAUUAAAGAGCCGCAGUAUUCUGACUGUGCGAAGGUAGCAUAAUAAAUUGUCUUUUAAAUGAAGGCUUGAAUGAAAGGUUGGACAAAGUGUCAUCUGUUUCUUAAAUAUUUAUUGAAUUUGACUUUCAAGUGAAAAGGCUUGAAUAAAUUAAAAAGACGAUAAGACCCUAUAAAUCUUUACAAUAAAUAAAUUUUAUAUUUUAAUUUAUAAGUAUAUAAGAUAUUAAGUUUAAUAGUUGUUUCGCUGGGGCGGCGUAGAUAUAUAAAUAAACUGUCUAUAUAUUAAAUUCAAUAAUUAUUGAUUAAUUAUAUUGAUCCUUAAAUAGAUUAAAAGAUUAAGAUACUUUAGGGAUAACAGCGUUAUUUUUUCUGAGAGUUCUUAUCGAAGAAAAAGUUUGCGACCUCGAUGUUGAAUUAAGGUAUCUUUAUGGUGUAGUCGCUAUAAGAGAGAGUCUGUUCGACUUUUAAUACUUUACAUGAUUUGAGUUCAGACCGGCGUGAGCCAGGUUGGUUUCUAUCUUUUAUUAAAUGUUAAAUUAUUUUAGUACGAAAGGACCAAAUAAUUAAAAAAUUUUUAUAAUUCAGAAUAUUAAUAUCUUCUUAAUUAUUAGUUUGUAAACUAAAUAAUAUUAUAAAAUAAUAAAGAAGAAAACAUU
rnacentral:rRNA from 1 species